AGUGGCGGACGGGUGAGUAAUGUCUGGGAAACUGCCCGAUGGAGGGGGAUAACUACUGGAAACGGUAGCUAAUACCGCAUAAUGUCGCAAGACCAAAGAGGGGGACCUUCGGGCCUCUUGCCAUCGGAUGUGCCCAGAUGGGAUUAGCUUGUUGGUGAGGUAAUGGCUCACCAAGGCGACGAUCCCUAGCUGGUCUGAGAGGAUGACCAGCCACACUGGAACUGAGACACGGUCCAGACUCCUACGGGAGGCAGCAGUGGGGAAUAUUGCACAAUGGGCGCAAGCCUGAUGCAGCCAUGCCGCGUGUAUGAAGAAGGCCUUCGGGUUGUAAAGUACUUUCAGCGGGGAGGAAGGCGACACGGUUAAUAACCGUGUUGAUUGACGUUACCCGCAGAAGAAGCACCGGCUAACUCCGUGCCAGCAGCCGCGGUAAUACGGAGGGUGCAAGCGUUGAUCGGAAUUACUGGGCGUAAAGCGCACGCAGGCGGUCUGUCAAGUCGGAUGUGAAAUCCCCGGGCUCAACCUGGGAACUGCAUUCGAAACUGGCAGGCUUGAGUCUUGUAGAGGGGGGUAGAAUUCCAGGUGUAGCGGUGAAAUGCGUAGAGAUCUGGAGGAAUACCGGUGGCGAAGGCGGCCCCCUGGACAAAGACUGACGCUCAGGUGCGAAAGCGUGGGGAGCAAACAGGAUUAGAUACCCUGGUAGUCCACGCCGUAAACGAUGUCGACUUGGAGG
rnacentral:rRNA from 1 species